rnacentral:lncRNA from 1 species
AGCACGUGUAAACCGGGCCAGGGUUGCAUCAUGAGCGGGCUCGGGUUUUCGAUUGCACCCUUCGUAAUACCUCAGCAUCAGUCUGCACGAGCUCAGGAGCCCGGGAGCUACGAAGGGCAGGCUCAAGGGAGCGCCACCAAAUCCUUUGGGGUGGGGGGACUUGAAUGGCAGCCGAUAGCUAAUAAGCCAGUGUUCUGCUGAUUCACAAUUAUGGAGACUGUGUAAUUGAAGAUAGAAGAGAGGUCUGAAGAAAAAGGAUUUGCCUGCGUUGCUUCUGAAUGUGCUGGACCUGGAACCCUGGACCUUGUGCAUGCUAGCAAGGAAUCUUACUUUAUCUUCUGUGAGGCUCCCUGUCCCAGAGCCAGCUACACUUUAAGGAAGAUAGGGGACUACUGACAAGACUAGCUGGCCUGUAAGAUUCUGCAGGUUCUCCUGUCUCACGGUAAGAGUGCUGAGAUUAUAAAUACUCACUGUUGUAUCUGGCUUAACAUGGGUUUUUGAAGUACUUUCUCCAGAC